AUGGAGGCCUCAAGGGCUCGCAAAGGGCUUUGCCCCUCUCCUGGCCAUGUGUCCCCAGCAGCUGGCUGCAGCUGUAGGAGCAGCUUCCCAGCUUCGACUGUGGGGUGGCUUCUCCUCCAAGGAGCCCUCGCCCCACACGUCAUGGGGAACCCAGUCCCACCAAGACCUCCAGAGUUCUGGAGUGUGGGUGCCUCACAAAAGACAGGUUUCCCUUAUCCAUGGAAACACUGCCGCCACCAAACGCUGGUGUAUCCCAUCGUGCAUGUACCAAGGCUCCUGUCCUGGGAGGGGACACCCAGGUCCCAUCUGGCUGUUGGCUGCUGGUGGUGGGCUGUCGUCAUCUCCAGCCUGCAUGGUCCCACCAAGCUGAGGGGUGCCUGGGUCACCAUGGCGGACGCGAUGAGGAAACCCGUGCACUCGAAGCCUCCGGUGUCAAUGGGCAUGUACAGGAGUUCGUACAAGAGGGACUACAGGUGGUGCGAGGAGAACCAGCCGACCUCCGAGGUGUACACGCAGAAGCUGAAGUUUGCCGAUUCCCAGCUGAAAGCCAAGGAGUUCUCCGUGCCUGAGGAACCACGGGUGAUGACAUACUGCGACAACGUCGACGGGGAAGGAAGAGGAGUCACCCCCGGGCCUGCGGCUGUGCGAGGGAGGAAGCCAGAAGGCAGUGCCUCCAGUCCCCGAGCAUUUCAGCAGGCUCAAGAAGAGCAGCGAAAGCGCUUCGGUUCAGCCCUUCCCCUUGCAGAAAGCUACCUCCCGAGGCCCUACCCUGCCGCCGAGCUGACAGCAACCCGGGCGGAGAGAUUGGAGAGGCCGCAGGCUCUCAGCGAGCUGGAAAACGAGCUGCCUCCUUCCCAGCGCCUUCUGGCUGCUGCUCGAGCCCCCGGAGCAGCAGGGAUGUUGCGGCGCAGGCAAAAGCUGGAUCCGGGCUGGGGCACCUACCAGCACUUCAUGCUGGAAACGGGCCGGGCAAAGCAACUCGAGGCUCAGCAGAACAAGAACAUGCUCCUGGGCUCCUCUGUUUUGGCGGAAGAGUGCUUUGACCUUGACCGGAGAAGUACCUACACCACGGACUUCCAGCGCUGGCCUGCAGCCCGCGAUGGAUGCUGCAAAGCAAAUAAGAAUCUGUCGCACGUUUUCCCUGAAGACGAGCACUUCCAGCAGAACCACUGGGUAUCCGAGUACAAGGACAACUACAGCAUUUUCUUGCAUAGGCUGAACCGGGCGGCUCAAGAGCCCACCACGGGGCUGUGCUCUGCCUUGAAGCCCCGCAGGCUGUCCUCCCAGACUGGAAUUGCACUGGGCACAGCCCCGUAAGCCACACUCCUUGGCUCUCCAAACUCUGUGAUACUGUCCACCGGAGACCCUGGAAGCCUGGAAACCUCUCUUCCAAAGCCCCCAUUACUGCAUACUUUUUAAGGGUUCAGCAGAAACUUUUUUACACAAAUAUCUUCACUGAAAUCUCACAAGAAACCUGAGCUUUUAUUGUUGUCAGAAAAAGGGAUUUUUUGAACGAUGCAGGUUACAGAGCUAAAGCCACCCAGCCAGUUUCAAUUCAUAUACUCUAAAUAAAAAUUGCCAGUAAACUUUGCCUUACUGCA
ensembl:lncRNA